rnacentral:misc_RNA from 1 species
UUUCCGUAGGUGAGCCUGCGGAAGGAUCAUUAAUGAGAACUAAGGGUAGUAGUCUCGGCUAUUACUCUGAACACUCCACCCUUUGUUUAUAUUACCUUUGUUGCUUUAGCAGGCCCGCUCUCGAGCCGCCGGCACCUGCUGGCUAGUGCCUGCUAAAGAACCUAAAACUCUUGUUAAUAAUAUUGUCUGAGUACUAUAUAAUAGUUAAAACUUUCAACAACGGAUCUCUUGGUUCUG